rnacentral:lncRNA from 1 species
CAGACUCCCCCAGCUGCCUAGUCAAACAGGUACUAUGUGCUGCUAUCAGUGAAAACAGUGAUAGCCACCAUUUGUCAUUUGGUACAAUGGCAUCACUCCCUCCUCGUUCCUGCCCUCCAUCUUCAGCCGAUGGGACCUCAGUUCUGCUGGGACACAGCCCAGGGCCAAGAGGGAGACAGCAGGGCUGAGCCUGCCGGAGAGAGGCCAACCAAGUGCAGCGCUUCACUGCUCUUGUAAGCACACGACGUAGCAGAGGACGGUGUUGUGCUAGGGGCAGCAAAAGCACUGCUGUAGACCUGUUUUCAUUUCAGCGUGCUGGCUGGUA